rnacentral:lncRNA from 1 species
GCUGAGAAUUCAUUCUUUCAUUUAUCUAUGCAUAUAUAUACAUACACACACACACACACACACAUAUAUAUAUUUUUUAAUUUAUGAAUUUGCCCAGGCCAGGCACAGUGAUUCAUGCCUGUAAUCCCAGCAUAUUCGGAGGCUGAGGUAGGAGGAUUGCUUGAGGCCAGGAACUCAAGGAUAGCCUGGGCUACAGAGGGAGACCUCGUCUCUCCAAAUAAUAAUAAUAAAAAAAAUUAGCUGGGCAUGGUGGUGUGUGCCUGCAGUGUCAGCCCUCAAAAGGCUGAGCCUGGAAGAUUGCUUGAGUCCAGGAGGUCAAGGCUGCAGUAAGCUGUGAUCAUACCCGUGUAUUGCAGCCUGGGUGCCAGAGCUAGACCCUGUAUCUAAGAAAAUAUACAUAUAUAUACACAUAUAUAUACACACACACACAUGUACCUACUCUUACUUACAUUUCUUUGUGUAUCAUUGGCUUAUUUUGAGGUUUAAAACCAGAAUCAAAGAAAAUUGAUUGGAGGAUCACCUGACUGAAGCAAAAUUCAUCUCUCCCACCAAAAGGAAGGAUUUGCCAGCCGGAGUUCGCAUCUGAAAAUCAGCAGUAAUAAUCCUGCUAAGCACAUCGAAACAGUCCGUGUGAUGCUCUGAAUAGAUUCUGACAAACUUAACUGGGGCAGGCAACUGGGGAAGGUCGUCGGUGACUCACACGCUAACGAUGGAAAGUGGCUGGUCCUUUCAGCUUCAUCCCUCCAUCCACGGCGUGUUCAAGAUCCCAGGAGCUCCAGCUCUCACGCCUCCCUUUCAGAACAAAAGGGUCCUGCCCAGGGAGAUACAGCGUCUAGGCCCACACAACACAAAGCAGCUGAGCUGGGAACUCAGGAGGAAACACGCGUUGUGGGUGCCUGGCUAACUUGGGAGAAGCGGGAAUUCCUACAGAGGAGAAUGAGAUGGAAGCGAUAAUCACAGAAAUGGCAGGAGAUAACAGCUGUCAGUCAAAUACAUUUUCUGAAAAAUGGCUACCUGCUGGGUUCUCACUGGAAAUUUAAAAGAGAAUCAAUUGUAGACAAAUUCUGGGAGAAUGUCAAACAAGGAAAAAUAAAGAACAUGCUGAGACUAAAAAAAAAAGGUAGAACCUAUACCGUUUUCACUUCAUUUCAGCCACAAGAAAUGACAUAGUAAUAUUGAGUAGUCAAUAUACUGAUAGAAAAAAAAAAUCCUUCUCAAGAAUUCUCCGAGAUCACGGUAGA